GGAAAUCAUAAGCCUCUUCAUUUAUUGAAACUAUGAAUACAGACGAUGGUUUGGAACAGCAUAAUAGCUGCAGUACACCAACAGGGCAUCACAGAAGGCAACAAGGAAAAGCACAUACCAUGAUAAGAUUCCAUAUUUCUUGCUAUUUCAAAUACGAGUUCUUACGCUCUACGGCACACGCCUUCCUCGCAAAUCCACCCUUCUUUUCCCUCCUCCUUGGCUUCCUCAUCGUUUUUCAAAGCACAUUUUGGGUGCAAGUCAAAGUCACACUCCUUACAGUAAAAGGACCAACCAGAUCCCAUCUCAUUGCAGCCAUUGCAAACAUAUGACCUAUGACGUGUUAGAACAAGUUCAUGUUCAUCAUGUAGUUCAUGUUUCA
rnacentral:misc_RNA from 1 species